rnacentral:rRNA from 1 species
UACGUAGGGUGCGAGCGUUGCCCGGAUUUAUUGGGCGUAAAGGGCGCGUAGGCGGCUCGGCACGUCCGUUGUGAAAUCGCCCGGCUCAACUGGGCGGGGUCAGCGGAUACGGUCGAGCUUGAGCAAGCUAGGGGGUAAUGGAAUUCCCGGUGUAGUGGUGGAAUGCGUAGAUAUCGGGAGGAACACCAGUGGCGAAGGCGGUUACCUGGGGGCUUUGCUGACGCUGAUGCGCGAAAGCGUGGGGAGCGAUCCGGG